rnacentral:rRNA from 1 species
CCCUCCCUCUGGCGGCAUGCCUAACACAUGCAAGUCGAACGAGACCUUCGGGUCUAGUGGCGCACGGGUGCGUAACGCGUGGGAACCUGCACUUAGGUUCGGAAUAACUCUCCGAAAGGGGUGCUAAUACCGGAUAAUGUCUUCGGACCAAAGAUUUAUCGCCUUUGGAUGGGCCAGCGUUGGAUUAGCUAGUUGGUAGGGUAAAAGCCUACUAAGGCGACGAUCCAUAGCUGGUCUGAGAGGAUGAUCAGCCACACUGGGACUGGGACACGGCCCAGACUCCUACGGGAGGCAGCAGUGGGGAAUAUUGGACAAUGGGCGAAAGCCUGAUCCAGCAAUGCCGCGUGAGUGAUGAAGGCCUUAAGGUUGUAAAGCGCUUUUACCCGGGAUGAUAAUGACGGUACCGGGAGAAUAAGCUCCGGCUAACUCCGUG